rnacentral:tRNA from 1 species
UGGAAUGUGGCUCAGUGAGAAAGUCCUUGCCUGGCAAGUGUGAAGCCCUGGGUUUGAGUCCCAGCACUGCAG